CUGGGCUGAACCCUGCCUGGAGAGCUGUCCCUGCAAGCUGAACUAACAGAAGAUGAAGAAUGAGGUCUCCCUGAAAUGCCCACCAUAAGACUGCCAGAUAUGGGACUGCUGGAUGACACUCUGGCUACCCCACUGAGUUUUAUGAAAACAUAACAGAAUAAAGACACUUACUUGUCAACUCAGUUACAAGCUAUUGAGGCACUCCAGAGUGACGGCAUGUGAUCCCCCUGACACAAGAAACAGGCCCAGAUAACACACCGUUCAGACCGACAGCAGUUCUGGUUAUGCUGCAGUA
rnacentral:lncRNA from 1 species